UACGAAGGGGCUAGCGUUGUUCGGAAUGACUGGGCGUAAAGCGCACGUAGGCGGACAUUUAAGUCAGGGGUGAAAUCCCGGGGCUCAACCUCGGAACUGCCUUUGAUACUGGGUGUCUGGAGUGUGGAAGAGGUGAGUGGGAAUUCCGAGUGUAGAGGUGAAAUUCGUAGAUAUUCGGAGGAACACCAGUGGCGAAGGCGGCUCACUGGUCCAUUACUGACGCUGAGGUGCGAAAGCGUGGGGAGCAAACAGG
rnacentral:rRNA from 1 species